UACGUAGGGGGCUAGCGUUGUCCGGAUUUAUUGGGCGUAAAGAGCGUGUAGGCGGCCAGGUAGGUCCGUUGUGAAAACUCGAGGCUCAACCUCGAGACGUCGGCGGAAACCCUCUGGCUAGAGUCCGGAAGAGGAGAGUGGAAUUCCUGGUGUAGUGGUGGAAUGCGUAGAUAUCGGGAGGAACACCAGUGGCGAAGGCGGUUGCCUGGAGCUUUGCUGACGCUGAGGCGCGAAAGCGUGGGGAGCGAUCCGG
rnacentral:rRNA from 1 species